rnacentral:lncRNA from 1 species
GGGGCAGUCCGAUAGAUGAUUGGAGGAGCUCAUGAUUGGAAAAGUCCAGAUGGCACGAUAGGAGUUCGUCUGCUAGAGAAAUCUGUAGGACACUCGUUGGGAAUAGUGUCCCAAAGCCAAUCGUCAGCCUGUUGACGGUUGUGCUUAUUUUUGUAUUUGUACAUGAAUUAUGAAUUAAUAAAAAUUAUUUUGAUAUUUUUUUCAUCAUAAAAUAUUUCAUCUUCUAAUGAACUCCUAUGUUGUGGUCAAGUCCUUAGGACUAUUUAGACUCGACAAAGGAGAAUUUGUCAUUUAGUCCUUAAAUCUGUUUGCGACCAAAUGAUACGUUGUUACCAAGGACGAUAACGUGUUUAUCAAGCAUAGGUCAUUGUGUACCAUAUAGGUUGGUUGUCCUUUUAACCAAUGAGUGUGGAGACACUGGUAUGGCAUACAGGUGAGAUGUAAGGGUACAUUUGCACUGAACGUGAUCGACUCCGGAGCUAUUUCUGCUGUCAAGAUUUGCUCUGAUAGAAUAUGGGUAUAAAUAUCCCUCCGACCUGAGACCGCCACGGUGACUUGCAAGCAACUCACUGCACUUAGGCACUGGACUACCUGAAUUUCUAAUUCAGUGACGGAAGACUGCUGGGUGUAGUCAAGUACUUGACUUGUCGGUGCGUGUGUCAAGAUGGGAUUGACAACUCCAGUUUAGGAGCUGUGUACAGUC